GAUGAACGCUAGCGGCAGGCUUAACACAUGCAAGUCGAGGGGCAGCAUGAGGGUUAGCAAUAACCUUUGAUGGCGACCGGCGCAAGGGUGCGUAACGCGUGAGCAACUUGCCCGUUUCUGGGGGAUAACCGGUGGAAACGCCGACUAAUACCCCAUAGUAUUGAUUUCAGGCAUCUGUUAUCAAUUAAAGAAUUUCGGAAACGGAUAGGCUCGCGUGACAUUAGCUAGAUGGCGGGGUAACGGCCCACCAUGGCAACGAUGUCUAGGGGUUCUGAGAGGAAGGUCCCCCACACUGGAACUGAGACACGGUCCAGACUCCUACGGGAGGCAGCAGUGAGGAAUAUUGGUCAAUGGUCUGACGACUGAACCAGCCAUGCCGCGUGAAGGUGACGGCCCUAUGGGUCUUAAACUUCUUUUGUAAGGGAGCAAUAAGUUCUACGUGUAGGAUGAUGAGAGUACCUUACGAAUAAGCAUCGGCUAACUCCGUGCCAGCAGCCG
rnacentral:rRNA from 1 species